rnacentral:lncRNA from 1 species
UGAUGUCAUUGACAAGUACUCAGAAUGUGGAGGAUGAUUCUCAGGCUUAGCUGUACAUUAGAAUCACAGUAGUGAUGUCUAGUUCACACCCCCAGGGAUUCUGAUUAGCCUGUUCUGGGGUAAAGCCUAGGUAUCUGGACUUUAAAAUCUCCACGGGUGAUUCUGGUAUGUAACCAAGGCUGAGCUCCACCACUUCCAAGAUGGACUAAAGCUGAAGUCUAGCUCUGGCACUCAGAGAGCUAGGGACAUUCUGGUGAAUCCUUUCAUCUCUCUGACCCCCAGAUUCUGCUCUGUUAGCUACUCACAUUGAGUGGGAGCCUUCAAUGACAUGCUGACUACCAAGUGCUCACAUGAUCUUCAAAAAACAGCUACUUAUUACUCCAGAGUGUGUUCUUGGCAAUUCUUUCCUCACCAUACACAAGAAACUGGACAGUUUUUGGCCUACUCAACUGUAACAAAACUGCUAUCUUUAUCAUCUCAAAAGGAAUCUCUGGGAAUAAUGUUGUUAAAGGUGCACCAAUUCCUAUAAGAUUGGCUGGAGUUUUUGGUGUAACGCAUACAUUCAAGCUGUACCAGUAUCUGUGUUCACCAUUAAAAAAUCUGUAGAAAAAAUUGAGUGACAAGAACUUAGCCACUCCAAGAUUUGUAAAAUAACAACUUAGGGAAGAAAGAAAAAGAGGAAGAAAUAUAUCCCAUAAACCAGGAGAGAUCUGACAGGAAAAUUAAAAGCUACAGAGAACUGAAUAGACAGAAUGCAACAUGAAGAAGGGAAGAGACAGUUUGCACUGGCUUCUUGGCUCCUGGCUCAUAGCUCCCAGGAAAUAGAGACUGAACCUACAGAGACAAAGUAAAUGCUGGGGUUGCCAGGGGGCCUCAGGGAGAAAUGUGGCAGCAGAACAUACCAGCAUUUGCUGUGAUCUGCUGGGGCAGCACAAAAUUCUACUCUGGUAGGAGUCAUUUGACAAACAACAACUGGUGAAUGCCUCUAAUAAAAGCACCUGUCAUAUCCUGAGAGAGAGUGCUUGGUUGGAUUCCAUUCUGGGUAAGGCUUGAUUAUUUGAACAUGGGAGUCAGAGCACCUCUAUAGCUUCAAUUCAGGGCUCCCAGUGUUACAUUCCCACAGUGACUGGGUGAGAGACAGCCAUGGGGAGACAGCUGGAAUCAGGGUAUAGUCUGAAAAGAGACCUCCUGAAGGCUUUGAGCUAAAGAACACAGACCCCACUCCUGCAGCCAAGAGGCCAGGCCCAGCCUGAGUUGCUCUGGACUUGAAAGUUGAGGCAUUGCCACCUUCACCUUAUUCUUCCUAUUGCCUAUAUGAAUCCAGCAUGGAUCUGGGGCCUGAUCAACUUCUUUAUCUAUUAGUGUGAACAUGGAUGUAUCUUGACUUAAGCACUGCCCCCAAAUUUUGGCCCUGGAAGAAAAACACACAUUCAAAAUCAAAGAAAUAUUUCUUUAAAAAAAAUAAAUGUAGUGUUUGUGUGUGUGAGCAUGUGUGUAUGUGUGUGUGUGUGUGUGUGUG